rnacentral:rRNA from 1 species
GACGAACGCUGGCGGCGUGCUUAACACAUGCAAGUCGAACGGAGAGGCCCCUUCGGGGGUCCUCGAGUGGCGCACGGGUGAGUAACACGUGAGUAACCUGCCCUUGACUUCGGGAUAACUUCAGGAAACUGGGGCUAAUACCGGAUAGGAAUCCUUGCUGCAUGGUGGGGGUUGGAAAGCUUCGGCGGUUUUGGAUGGACUCGCGGCUUAUCAGCUUGUUGGUGGGGGAGUGGCUUACCAAGGCUUUGACGGGUAGCCGGCCUGAGAGGGCGACCGGCCACAUUGGGACUGAGAUACGGCCCAGACUCCUACGGGAGGCAGCAGUGGGGAAUAUUGCACAAUGGGCGGAAGCCUGAUGCAGCAACGCCGCGGGCGGGAUGACGGCCUUCGGGUUGGAAACCGCUUUCAGCAGGGGCGAAGCUUGUGGUGACGGUACCUGCAGAAGAAGCACCGGCUAACUACGUG